UUAGUAUAGCUUUUUGGCCAAUUGUAAAUAGUACAGCUGAAAGGUAGUUUUUCAGUAGUAGCAUAUUCCUUUUAGUAUAUAAGGAAGUUUGUACAUUGUAAUUAUCAUCGCGUUUUUUUUUAUAGAAUAUCACAAGUAAAAUUUUCAAAUUUUCUCCUUUCUUCCAACAAGGUAUCAGAGACCUAGGAGCUCCAUUUUUUUUAUAUCUUUCUUCUUCUUUUUGUUCUUUCACCCUCCACUCUAUCAUUCAUGACUGCUCCUGAAAACCAAAGCACUAUUAUUGUCUCUCCAGCAAUAGCUCCUUCCUAUCCUCACUACCUUCACCCUUUUGAUUCCCCGGGGAUGAUGUUGGUCAACUCACUCUUUAAUGGAAAAGGUUUCGCUGGAUGGAAGAGAUCUGUUGUAAUCGCUCUUUCGGCCAAAACAAGCUUGGAUUCAUUGAUUAUUCCACAACAAUACCUGCUUCCACCUCACCUUAAUAUCAAUCCUGGAGUCGUUGUAAAAAAAUGGUCUCAAUGAAGCAUAUUCAGGUAUGAGGAGUAGCAUUUUGAUGAUGGGCCUCUCCAAACUGUAUGACGUGCUUAUUCUCUUCUUAUUUAGGAUAAAGUACAGAGAGAGAGGAAUAUGUGGUUUCACACCCUACAGAGGAAGCUUUAAUGGUAAACAACUAGAAGUUUCAGACAAGGUUUUCUCCUUAGAAAUUCCCCACUGGAGAUGGGAAAUUCAAUGCUAAUUUUUGCGAACCCAUAAGAGAAAAAUUUUGCACUCAUUUCCAUUUAACUAAUCAUAUGGUUGACAAUUGUUGUAGGUUGAUUUAUUUUCCCCAGAUUUUUAGUUCACAAAGUCUAAAAGAAACCCCAACUACAACAGCACUACAGCUCAGGUUGCAAUUUAGCAGUCCCAAAUAGGAUAAUAUUUCUCUCCAAAUCAAUCCUCACAGAUGUUCCAUAGAUGAAAGAUGCUAAACAAAGACAACAAAGUGAGCAACAUUCAGAUGUCGAUGUCUUUUACAAUUGUACUGGCCCCUUCUGUGAAGAUGGCAGUGGUUCUUGGUGAAGUCCAACGAGGUCUUACCUUCUGAAAAUAACUCCUCUCAAGUCAAGCUCAGUACCCUCACUCACUACCUGUACUCAAAUGACCCAUUAAUUUCUAAGUCUUUCUGUAAUGAUUCAAAGUUCUUAGGAGUUUCCAGUUCCUUUUCAAUUCCUUCAAAGCUUUCAGCUACUGAUAUAAGUUUAUGACACACAAGAUUGGGGCAUUUUCCUAUAUCUAAUAUGAAGAAUCUUUCUCUAUUUAAUUCAGUUUUUAUAUCUGAUUUUGUUUUUCCCUG